UAGGGAAUAUUGGUAAUGUGCGAAAGCGCGAACCAGCAACGCCGCGUGCACGAUGAAGGCCUUCGGGUCGUAAAGUGCUUUUAGAGAGGAUGAGGAAGGACAGUACUCUUAGAAUAAGCCUCUGCUAACUACGUGCCAGAAGCCGCGGUAAAACGUAGGAGGCGAGCGUUAUCCGGAUUUACUGGGCGUAAAGCGUGUGUAGGCGGUUUGAUAAGUUGGAUGUGAAAGCUCCUGGCUUAACUGGGAGAGGUCGUUCAAAACUAUCAGACUUGAGAGUGGUAGAGGGAGGUGGAAUUCCGCAUGUAGUGGUGAAAUGCGUAGAUAUGCGGAGGAACACCAGUGGCGAAAGCGGCCUCCUGGCCCAUUUCUGACGCUCAGACACGAAAGCUAAGGUAGCAAACG
rnacentral:rRNA from 1 species